rnacentral:rRNA from 1 species
CAGUCGCCACGGUAAUACAUAGGGUGCGAGCGUUAAUCGGAAUUACUGGGCGUAAAGCGUGCGCAGGCGGUUGUGUAAGACAGGUGUGAAAUCCCCGGGCUCAACCUGGGAAUGGCGCUUGUGACUGCAAAGCUAGAGUGCGGCAGAGGGGGAUGGAAUUCCGCGUGUAGCAGUGAAAUGCGUAGAUAUGCGGAGGAACACCGAUGGCGAAGGCAAUCCCCUGGGCCUGCACUGACGCUCAUGCACGAAAGCGUGGGGAGCAAACAGGAUUAGAUACCCCGGUAGUCCCUGUCUCUUAUAC